GGAUGGCAAGCUCCGUGGCACUCCUAACCCCUUGAGAGGCAAGCUGCUGCUGCCCACUGAGCAGGAGAAUCAUGAGUGCCAGGCACCAUCAGGAAGGUGUUUCAUAGGAGGUGACACUCGGCCUCUGAGCAGCCAGGUCUCACCGCGCUUCACACCCUCAUGAUGCGUGAGCACAACUGCGUCGCUGGGGAGCUCAAGCGCCUCAACAAGCACUGGAGCGACGAGCAGCUCUUCCAGAACGCUCGGCGGAUCGUGACGGCCAUCAACCAACAUGUGACGUACAAUGAGUGGCUGCCGAGAGUCCUGGGAUGGAACGCAGUCAACCUGUAUGGCCUUAACCUGCUGCCAGAGGAAUACUGUGAAGGUUACGACACAUAUUGAGGACCUUUGGAAGAGGCUGCUGACGUUAGGGGCGGCGGAAGGGUCUGCCUCAUAGAUCUCAGAAAGGAAAGUUUGGGACGUACCUUGAAUCAGUCGGCUCCUUGACGACAGUAC